UGUCAGGGUUUAAUCAGGGGCCCGGACAGAGGAGUGGGGGGUGUCAGGUUAUAAUCAGGGGCCCGGACAGAGGAGUGGGGGGUGUCAGGUUAUAAUCAGGGGCCCGGACAGAGGAGUGGGGGGUGUCAGGUUAUAAUCAGGGGCCCGGACAGAGGAGUGGGGGGUGUCAGGGUAUAAUCAGGGGCCCGGACAGAGGAGUGGGGGGUGUCAGGUUAUAAUCAGGGGCCCGGACAGAGGAGUGGGGGGUGUCAGGUUAUAAUCAGGGGCCCGGACAGAGGAGUGGGGGGUGUCAGGGUUUAAUCAGGCACAGGGGCCCAGACAGAGGACUGGGGGGGUGUCAGGGUUUAAUCAGGCACAGGGGCCCGGACAGAGGACUGGGGGUGUCAGGGUUUAAUCAGGGGCCCAGACAGAGGACUGGGGGGUGUCUGGGUAUAAUCAGGGGCCCGGACAGAGGAGUGGGGGGUGUCAGGUUAUAAUCAGGGGCCCGGACAGAGGAGUGGGGGGUGUCAGGUUAUAAUCAGGGGCCCGGACAGAGGAGUGGGGGGUGUCGGGGUAUAAUCAGGGGCCCGGACAGAGGAUGCCACCCAGCUUUCCCAGAUGCAGAUAUCAGUCGGAGGAGUGCGGUACCUGCAUG